rnacentral:lncRNA from 1 species
CAGAGGCAAAAUCGUGGGCUGAAUCUGAAUCAAUGACUCCAUUUGUAAGUUCCAUUGAUUAUUUUAAAUAUAUUUCGUAUUUCUUUUUUUUUUUUAUAAUGCAGCAAUUUAUCGAGCGACGGUCAACAAGACUUUCGGAAAAAAUAAGAAGAAUCGAAUAAUAGGAAUUGGAGAAGCUGCCAGUAUGGUGAGCACAACAAACGAAAGAUGGGCUUCUCCAAAUUGGAAAGGAAAAGAGACGAUCUCAGAAAGCACGACUGUUGAUGCAACACCAGAUGCAGUUUGGUCG